rnacentral:rRNA from 1 species
UUCUUCGGGGGGGGAGCAGUGGGGAAUAUUGCACAAUGGGCGGAAGCCUGAUGCAGCGACGCCGCGUGAGGGAUGACGGCCUUCGGGUUGUAAACCUCUUUCAGUAGGGAAGAAGCGAAAGUGACGGUACCUGCAGAAGAAGCGCCGGCUAACUACGUGCCAGCAGCCGCGGUAAUACGUAGGGCGCAAGCGUUGUCCGGAAUUAUUGGGCGUAAAGAGCUCGUAGGCGGUUUGUCGCGUCUGCUGUGAAAGCCCGGGGCUCAACCCCGGGUCUGCAGUGGGUACGGGCAGACUAGAGUGCAGUAGGGGAGACUGGAAUUCCUGGUGUAGCGGUGAAAUGUGCAGAUAUCAGGAGGAACACCGAUGGCGAAGGCAGGUCUCUGGGCUGGUACCGACGUGAGGGGCAAAAGAGGU